AACGAACGCUGGCGGCAGGCUUAACACAUGCAAGUCGAGCGCCCCGCAAGGGGAGCGGCAGACGGGUGAGUAACGCGUGGGAAUCUACCCAUCUCUACGGAAUAACGCAUGGAAACGUGUGCUAAUACCGUAUACGUCCUUCGGGAGAAAGAUUUAUCGGAGAUGGAUGAGCCCGCGUUGGAUUAGCUAGUUGGUGGGGUAAAGGCCUACCAAGGCGACGAUCCAUAGCUGGUCUGAGAGGAUGAUCAGCCACGCUGGGACUGAGACACGGCCCAGACUCCUACGGGAGGCAGCAGUGGGGAAUAUUGGACAAUGGGCGCAAGCCUGAUCCAGCCUUGCCGCGUGAGUGAUGAAGGCCCUAGGGUUGUAAAGCUCUUUCACCGGUGAAGAUAAUGACGGUAACCGGAGAAGAAGCCCCGGCUAACUUCGUGCCAGCCGCCGCGGUAAAAC
rnacentral:rRNA from 1 species